CCAAAACUUUACAAAUCUGUGUUUUUGUUUCUUAGUGAAUUAUGGUAUAAAUAGUAUUAGAUUACCAGUUUUUUAUGCCACUUAGAAUAAAUAUAUUAUGUCCUUGUUAUUGUAAUGAAUCGCAAUAUUAUACAGUGAUCUCUUUCAGACAUGCAGCAAUACACACGAACUAGUUGCUUUGGAUUCUGGCUGAACAUCAGACUUCUUUCUUAUGGCACGAAAACGACCAACAUUUUCAAAGAUCUUUUUCGAGGAUUUACAUUAAAGCACCUUGCAGAAUCAUUUCUUGGUCGUGAAAUGAAAAAAGUUCAGUCGUGUGAUGAGUUGACAGAUCAACAAAAAAAGACACGUAUUGAGUGGAUUAUUGCAGAACUACAAGACAAUGAUAUUUUACCUUACAACUAUGUGUACGACAGAGAUCGCUUAGUAAUCGGUGACCAGGAGGAGAUAUCCUGGUUCCUUUGGAAUCUAGUAAAAUACGACAUUCGUGAAACGUGGGACAAGACAGGAAAGUACCAUGCCAACGAGUUUAUGAUAUUAAACGAGUCCUAUUCCUGGAUACCACAACCCAGACCAGAGAGUCCAGGCUACACUGAUGGUAACAACUACUCCUACAAACAAAUGCAAAAUCAGGCGAGUGUCGUUUUAUACAAUUGGAUGUUUAAAUGGAUAACGGAAUAAUUGUAUUAUUCCUUUGUUUAAACUAAGCCUUCAGUAAAUUCGUAUCUUAUCCUAAGAUUCUGUCAGUGAUUUUCCAGAUGAUUAUUUUAAAUUUGAAAGAGCUUUAAUCAAUUACAUAAUGCAGGAAAAGCAGCGAAAAUUGAAAGACAAGAAAAAGAAGAUGAAACCCGAAGAAUCAGUCAUUGAGGUACUUGUUUAAUUAAUCCAGUCUUCAGCUAAUCUGUUAAUCAUCUCCGACAGUGAACAUUACAUUCCGUUUAAUCACAUGCACUCACUUUAUUCCUGUUCUAAUCGGCUUAUACACGCACUGGAUUCAUUUAUGCUUCUUACCAUUUGAUAGCAUGCAUAAUAUGAUUAUUGAUCUGAUUCUAUUGUCAUUUAUGCAAUGUGUAUUGGUAUGCUUGUAAUAUAAAAUAGCAACAAUGGACUAAAUAUUACUAUAAUCAGCAU